rnacentral:rRNA from 1 species
AUUGCCUCAGUAACGGCGAGUGAAGCGGCAAGAGCUCAAAUUUGAAAGCUGGCCCCUCCGGGGUCCGCGUUGUAAUUUGCAGAGGAUGCUUCGGGCUCAGCCCCCGUCUAAGUGCCCUGGAACGGGCCGUCGGAGAGGGUGAGAAUCCCGUCUGGGACGGGGUGCCUGGGUCCAUGUGAAGCUCCUUCGACGAGUCGAGUUGUUUGGGAAUGCAGCUCUAAAUGGGUGGUAAAUUUCAUCUAAAGCUAAAUACUGGCCGGAGACCGAUAGCGCACAAGUAGAGUGAUCGAAAGAUGAAAAGCACUUUGAAAAGAGAGUUAAACAGCACGUGAAAUUGUUGAAAGGGAAGCGCUUGCGAUCAGACUCGCCUGCGGGGUUCAGCCGGCAUUCGUGCCGGUGUACUUCCCCGUGGGCGGGCCAGCGUCGGUUCGGGUGGCCGGUCAAAGGCCCCGGGAAUGUGUCGCCCUCCGGGGCGUCUUAUAGCCGGGGGUGCCAUGCGGCCUACCUGGACCGAGGAACGCGCUUCGGCUCGGACGCUGGCGUAAUGGUCGUAAGCGGCCCGUCUU